rnacentral:rRNA from 1 species
AGGACGAACGCUGGCGGCGUGCUUAACACAUGCAAGUCGAGCGGAAAGGCCCUUCGGGGUACUCGAGCGGCGAACGGGUGAGUAACACGUGAGCAACCUGCCCUUGGCUCUGGGAUAGCCUCCGGAAACGGGGAUUAAUACCGGACAUUCACUUUCUCCUGCAUGGGGGUUGGUGGAAAGUUUUUCGGCCAGGGAGGGGCUCGCGGCCUAUCAGCUUGUUGGCGGGGUAACGGCCCACCAAGGCGACGACGGGUAGCCGGCCUGAGAGGGCGAUCGGCCACACUGGGACUGAGACACGGCCCAGACUCCUACGGGAGGCAGCAGUGGGGAAUAUUGCACAAUGGGCGCAAGCCUGAUGCAGCGACGCCGCGUGGGGGAUGAAGGCCUUCGGGUUCGUAAACCCUUUCACCAGGAGCGAAUUCAGACGGUACCGUGGGAAGAGCGCCGGCUAACUACGCGCCAGCAGCCGC